AAUGAACGCUGGCGGCAUGCCUUACACAUGCAAGUCGAACGGCAGCAUGACCUAGCUUGCUAGGUUGAUGGCGAGUGGCGAACGGGUGAGUAAUGCAUCGGAACGUGCCUUUUAGUGGGGGAUAACGUAGCGAAAGUUACGCUAAUAACGCAUAUUCUCUGAGGAGGAAAGCAGGGGACCUUCGGGCCUUGCGCUAGAAGAGCGGCCGAUGUCGGAUUAGCUAGUUGGUGAGGUAAAGGCUCACCAAGGCAACGAUCCGUAGCGGGUCUGAGAGGAUGAUCCGCCACACUGGGACUGAGACACGGCCCAGACUCCUACGGGAGGCAGCAGUGGGGAAUUUUGGACAAUGGGCGCAAGCCUGAUCCAGCCAUGCCGCGUGAGUGAAGAAGGCCUUCGGGUUGUAAAGCUCUUUCGGCUGGGAAGAAAUCGCACCCUCUAAUACAGGGUGUGGAUGACGGUACCAGCAUAAGAAGCACCGGCUAACUACGUG
rnacentral:rRNA from 1 species